GACCCGUGGGGCUGGGGUGGCAGCUGAUCAUGUCAGGAGGACUCCUCUGCACAGCAUCACAAGUACAGGAGAGAAUGCUAAACUUGAUUGGAAGCUCACAGAAGACCCCUGGAACACAGAGCAAUAAGGGAAAUUUGGACCCAGAGAUACAUUCAGAGAGAAGAUGAUGUGAAGGCACAGGAAGAAUGCCCUGUGAACAUCAGGACCAAUGCCUGCAAGCCUAGGAGAGAGGUCUAGAACAGAUCCUUCCCUCGCAGCCCUCAGAUCAAACUAACCCUGCAAGUACCUGGAUUUUGGACUUCUGGCUUCCAGAAUUAAGCAACAGUAACUUUCUGUUGAAGCCAUCCAGUCUUGAAGCCACCCAGUCUGUGGUGCUGGGUUACCGUGGCCCUAGCAAAUUUGCCUGCGGCUUUCCGAAUCACAGCCCCGUUUUGUCACAGGGGAAGAAUUCUAAGAAGUUCUUUAUUUGGCCCAGUGAGGGAUAGAAUAAUGAGCAUUUCCCUCGUCACAGUUCUGACAACUGCCUCGGUCACACACGGCUUAGGAGACUGGCCACUUCCUCUGCCUUCAACUUGCAGGAGACUUCAAUAAUAAAUGUGUAGAAGCGUUUGGUCUUCUCAAUGCUGGGAAUCCAGGAAGUAUGGCCUGGCGUACAUGGAAGCCAGUCCCCUAAUGACCUCAUUGACACAGACCUCAUUUGGGGAUCUUCUUCUCAGGCACUUCCCCCUUAGCUCCUGAGGCCAGAACCUGACCCUGCUGUGUCUCUCUUCCAUGCAUCUUUUGCCAUCUCUCUCUGCUGUCUGGAAUCUGCAACAACAUGAGGGUGCUCAGGACUUUGAUGUUGCUGCUGACCUCAGCAUGCCCCAGUCCAAACCUACCCUUUUCCUCCUGGGCCCACAUCCGCUUCUGCUCCCCACUUCCCCAAUGUCUUCGUUCUUUUCAUCAUAUGCUGACCAAAGAGUCAUCUUUAGGCAUGCUCUGUGUCCCUUCUGCUACAUCUACUCUGUUGCCCCAUCUCCUGAAUUCUUCCUUCUGAUUUCUUCUCACUCUUCCUUCACCGUGGGUCAGUCCACUGGGGCCCCAUGUCAGGACACUGGAUGACACUGUUUGGACAUCUGGAAGGAUUGGGUAAAGGAUACAGAGAAGUCUAAGGAGGGAUAGGGUGAGUCCGGGAUGACUGUGGAUUAGGCACCUGGUAAAGCUAAUUGGGGGGUGGGUAAGGAAUGAGGUGAGGGUAUCUAUUGCAUAUAUUUUAUGGUAAUAAAAGGGAGUUGAAAGGUCA